rnacentral:tRNA from 1 species
GGAGAGGUGCCAGAGUGGUCGAUUGGGACGGUCUCGAAAACCGUAGUCUCUUCACUGGGACCGAGGGUUCGAAUCCCUCCCUCUCCU